rnacentral:rRNA from 1 species
GCGACAGCCUGAUNCAGCAAUGCCGCGUGUGCGAAGAAGGCCUUCGGGUUGUAAAGCACUUUUGUCAGGAANNUAAAUUGUUUGGGCUAAUACCCCGAGCCGUUGACGGUACCUGAAGAAUAAGCACCGGCUAACUACGUGCCAGCAGCCGCGGUAAUACGUAGGGUGCGAGCGUUAAUCGGAAUUACUGGGCGUAAAGCGUGCGCAGGCGGUUUGUUAAGACUGUUGUGAAAUCCCCGGGCUCAACCUGGGAACUGCAAUUGUGACUGGCAGGCUAGAGUUUGGCAGAGGGGGGUGGAAUUCCUGGUGUAGCAGUGAAAUGCGUAGAUAUCAGGAGGAACACCGCUGGCGAAGGCAGCCCCCUGGGCCAUGACUGACGCUCAUGCACGAAAGCGUGGGGAGCAAACAGGAUUAGAUACCCUGGUAGUCCACGCCCUAAACGAUGUCUACUAGUUGUUGGGUCUUCAUUGACUUAGUAACGAAGCUAACGCGUGAAGUAGACCGCCUGGGGAGUACGGCCGCAAGGUUAAAACUCAAAGG